rnacentral:rRNA from 1 species
UACGUAGGUGGCAAGCGUUGUCCGGAAUCACUGGGCGUAAAGCGCACGUAGGCGGCUUUUUAAGUCAGGGGUGAAAUCCUGGAGCUCAACUCCAGAACUGCCUUUGAUACUGAGGAUCUUGAGUUCGGGAGAGGUGAGUGGAACUGCGAGUGUAGAGGUGAAAUUCGUAGAUAUUCGCAAGAACACCAGUGGCGAAGGCGGCUCACUGGCCCGAUACUGACGCUGAGGCACGAAAGCGUGGGGAGCAAACAGGG